GAUGAACGCUGGCGGCGUGCCUAAUACAUGCAAGUCGAGCGAACAGACGAGGAGCUUGCCCCUCUGACGUUAGCGGCGGACGGGUGAGUAACACGUGGAUAACCUACCUAUAAGACUGGGAUAACUUCGGGAAACCGGAGCUAAUACCGGAUAAUAUAUUGAACCGCAUGGUUCAAUAGUGAAAGACGGUUUUGCUGUCACUUAUAGAUGGAUCCGCGCCGCAUUAGCUAGUUGGUAAGGUAACGGGUUACCAAGGCAACGAUGCGUAGCCGACCUGAGAGGGUGAUCGGCCACACUGGAACUGAGACACGGUCCAGACUCCUACGGGAGGCAGCAGUAGGGAAUCUUCCGCAAUGGGCGAAAGCCUGACGGAGCAACGCCGCGUGAGUGAUGAAGGUCUUCGGAUCGUAAAACUCUGUUAUUAGGGAAGAACAAAUGUGUAAGUAACUAUGCACGUCUUGACGGUACCUAAUCAGAAAGCCACGGCUAACUACGUG
rnacentral:rRNA from 1 species